AUCCAUAGAGACUUGAAGCCUUCC
rnacentral:siRNA from 1 species